UACGUAGGGUGCGAGCGUUGUCCGGAAUUAUUGGGCGUAAAGAGCUCGUAGGCGGUUUGUCGCGUCUGCCGUGAAAGUCCGGGGCUCAACUCCGGAUCUGCGGUGGGUACGGGCAGACUAGAGGUGAUGUAGGGGAGACUGGAAUUCCUGGUGUAGCGGUGAAAUGCGCAGAUAUCAGGAGGAACACCGAUGGCGAAGGCAGGUCUCUGGGCAUUAACUGACGCUGAGGAGCGAAAGCAUGGGGAGCGAACAGG
rnacentral:rRNA from 1 species